GUGGGGAAUAUUGGACAAUGGGCGAAAGCCUGAUCCAGCCAUGCCGCGUGUGUGAAGAAGGUCUUCGGAUUGUAAAGCACUUUAAGUUGGGAGGAAGGGCAGUAAGUUAAUACCUUGCUGUUUUGACGUUACCAACAGAAUAAGCACCGGCUAACUUCGUGCCAGCAGCCGCGGUAAUACGAAGGGUGCAAGCGUUAAUCGGAAUUACUGGGCGUAAAGAGCGCGUAGGUGGUUCAGCAAGUUGGAGGUGAAAUCCCCGGACUCAACCUGGGAACUGCCACCAAAACUACUGAGAUAGAGUACGGUAGAGGGUAGUGGAAUUUCCUGUGUAGCGGUGAAAUGCGUAGAUAUAGGAAGGAACACCAGUGGCGAAGGCGACUACCUGGACUGAUACUGACACUGAGGUGCGAAAGCGUGGGGAGCAAACAGGAUUAGAAACCCGUGUAGUCC
rnacentral:rRNA from 1 species